rnacentral:rRNA from 1 species
CCUACGGGUGGCAGCAGUGGGGAAUAUUGCACAAUGGGGGAAACCCUGAUGCAGCGACGCCGCGUGAGUGAAGAAGUAUUUCGGUAUGUAAAGCUCUAUCAGCAGGGAAGAAGAAAGACGGUACCUGACUAAGAAGCCCCGGCUAACUACGUGCCAGCAGCCGCGGUAAUACGUAGGGGGCACGCGUUAUCCGGAUUUACUGGGUGUAAAGGGAGCGUAGACGGCUGUGCAAGUCUGAAGUGAAAGCCCAGGGCUCAACCCUGGGACUGCUUUGGAAACUGUGGAGCUGGAGUGCUGGAGAGGUAAGUGGAAUGCCUAGUGUAGCGGUGAAAUGCGUAGAUAUUAGGAGGAACACCAGUGGCGAAGGCGGCUUACUGGACAGUAACUGACGUUGAGGCUCGAAAGCGUGGGGAGCAAACAGGAUUAGAGACCCUUGUAGUC